rnacentral:rRNA from 2 species
UGGGGAAUAUUGCACAAUGGAGGGAACUCUGAUGCAGCGACGCCGCGUGAACGAAGAAGGCUUUCGAGUCGUAAAGUUCUUUUAUAUGGGAAGAUAAUGACGGUACCAUAAGAAAAAGCCCCGGCUAACUACGUGCCAGCAGCCGCGGUAAUACGUAGGGGGCUAGCGUUGUCCGGAAUCACUGGGCGUAAAGGGUUCGCAGGCGGAAUAACAAGUCAGAUGUGAAAGGCAUGGGCUCAACCCAUGUAAGCAUUUGAAACUGUAAUUCUUGAGAAGUGGAGAGGUAAGUGGAAUUCCUAGUGUAGCGGUGAAAUGCGUAGAUAUUAGGAGGAAUACCUGUGGCGAAGGCGACUUACUGGACACAAAUCUGACGCUGAGGAACGAAAGCGUGGGUAGCAAACAGG